rnacentral:rRNA from 1 species
GCUCAGAAACUUAAAGGAAUUGACGGGGCCCGGCACAAGCGGUGGAGUAUGUGGUUUAAUUCGAUGCAACGCGAAGAACCUUACCUGGUCUUGACAUCCCGGAGACCCUUAGGAAACUAGGGGGUGCUUCCAUCUGGAAGAAUCUGGAGACAGGUGCUGCAUGGCUGUCGUCAGCUCGUGUCGUGAGAUGUUGGGUUAAGUCCCGCAACGAGCGCAACCCUUGCCUUUAGUUGCCAGCAGUUCGGCUGGGCACUCUAAAGGGACUGCCGGUGUUAAACCGGAGGAAGGUGGGGAUGACGUCAAGUCCUCAUGGCCUUUAUGACCAGGGCUACACACGUACUACAAUGGCCGAUACAAAGGGCAGCGACACUGCGAGGUGAAGCCAAUCCCGUAAAAUCGGUCUCAGUCCGGAUUGGAGUCUGCAACUCGACUCCAUGAAGUUGGAAUCGCUAGUAAUCGUGGAUCAGCAUGCCACGGUGAAUACGUUCCCGGGCCUU